UCACCCCCUAGGGUGAACCUUUAAAUUCACCCCAUCAUUUAUGACCAAUCAAAUUAACACAUAGAUUACUAAUUAAAAAAUAUUAAAUUAAAUAAAAAAUAGCUACAAAAAAUAAAAACGCUAAUUUUAACGACGCUAACGCUUUCAUCUAAGCGCUAAACCCUAAAUCUAAAAUUCUAAACCCCAUACCCUAAAUUCUAAACUUAAAUCCAAACCCCUAAACCCAAACCCUAUACCUUAAACCCUAAUCCUAGACCCUAAAUCCAAAUUAUAUACCCUGAACUAGGGUAUAGGGUUUGGGUUUAGGGAUUUGGAUUUGUGUUUAGAAUUUUGGGUAUAGGGUUUAGAAUUUAAGAUUUAGGAUUUAGGGUUUAGCCGGAAGCGUUAGCGUCGUUAAAAUUAGCGUUUUUAUUUUUUGU
rnacentral:lncRNA from 1 species